CAUGGCGGGAUGCCUUACCAUGCAUGUCGCACGGCAGCACGGGUGCUUGCACCUGGUGGCGAGUGGCGAACGGGUGAGUAAUACAUCGGAACAUGUCCUGUAGUGGGGGAUAGCCCGGCGAAAGCCGGAUUAAUACCGCAUACGAUCUACGGAUGAAAGCGGGGGACCUUCGGGCCUCGCGCUAUAGGGUUGGCCGAUGGCUGAUUAGCUAGUUGGUGGGGUAAAGGCCUACCAAGGCGACGAUCAGUAGCUGGUCUGAGAGGACGACCAGCCACACUGGGACUGAGACACGGCCCAGACUCCUACGGGAGGCAGCAGUGGGGAAUUUUGGACAAUGGGCGAAAGCCUGAUCCAGCAAUGCCGCGUGUGUGAAGAAGGCCUUCGGGUUGUAAAGCACUUUUGUCCGGAAAGAAAUCCUUGGCUCUAAUACAGUCGGGGGAUGACGGUACCGGAAGAAUAAGCACCGGCUAACUACGUGCCAGCAGCCGCGGUAAUACGUAGGGUGCAAGCGUUAAUCGGAAUUACUGGGCGUAAAGCGUGCGCAGGCGGUUUGCUAAGACCGAUGUGAAAUCCCCGGGCUCAACCUGGGAACUGCAUUGGUGACUGGCAGGCUAGAGUAUGGCAGAGGGGGGUAGAAUUCCACGUGUAGCAGUGAAAUGCGUAGAGAUGUGGAGGAAUACCGAUGGCGAAGGCAGCCCCCUGGGCCAAUACUGACGCUCAUGCACGAAAGCGUGGGGAGCAAACAGGAUUAGAUACCCUGGUAGUCCACGCCCUAAACGAUGUCAACUAUUUGUUGGGGAUUCAUUUCCUUAGUAACGUAGCUAACGCGUGAAGUUGACCGCCUGGGGAGUAGGUCGCAAGAUUAAAACUCAAGGAAUUGACGGGGACCCGCACAAGCGGUGGGAUGAUGUGGAUUAUUCGAUGCACGCGAAAAACCUUACCUACCCUUGACAUGGUCGAAUCCUGCUGAGAGGUGGGAGUGCUCAAAGAAACCGGCCACAGUGCUGCAUGCUGUCGUCAGCUCGUUGUCGUGAAAUUGUGGGUUAGUCCCGCAACGAGCGCACUCUUGUUCUUAGUUGCUACGCAAGAGCACCUCUUAGGGAACUGCGUGACAACCGGAGGAGUUGGAUGACUUCAGUCUCAUGCCUAUGCUAGGCUUCCACGCUCAUACAUGUCGACAGGUGCACGAGGACUAUCCGAGAGCGAUGCUACGUCCGAAUC
rnacentral:rRNA from 1 species